AACGAACGCUGGCGGCAUGCCUAACACAUGCAAGUCGAACGAGACCUUCGGGUCUAGUGGCGCACGGGUGCGUAACGCGUGGGAACCUGCCCUUAGGUUCGGAAUAACUCUCCGAAAGGGGUGCUAAUACCGGAUAAUGUCUUCGGACCAAAGAUUUAUCGCCUUUGGAUGGGCCCGCGUUGGAUUAGCUAGUUGGUAGGGUAAAAGCCUACCAAGGCGACGAUCCAUAGCUGGUCUGAGAGGAUGAUCAGCCACACUGGGACUGUGACACGGCCCAGACUCCUGCGGGAGGCAGCAGUGGGGAAUAUUGGACAAUGGGCGAAAGCCUGAUCCAGCAAUGCCGCGUGAGUGAUGAAGGCCUUAGGGUUGUAAAGCUCUUUUACCCGGGAUGAUAAUGACAGUACCGGGAGAAUAAGCUCCGGCUAACUCCGUG
rnacentral:rRNA from 1 species